AUCACCAAUUGCUCCAGAUGAAUGCUACAGAAAUGCUGAAGACUUUACUGCAAUUCCUUUUAAAGUCAGAUAUUCUCUUGUGAAAGAUGUUCGAACAAUCUGAUGAUGGAUGUUCAUUAGUUUACUGCUGUCAAGACAAGCUACCACUCCACAUCUCUGAUGCUGAUCAUGUUUUUGCAGCCAUGAUUGAGUUGUUGAAAAACAAACAAACAAACAUACACUCCACAGAGCUCUCUCGACUGUGUCUAAACCAGCACCAACUUGAAAUAUCAUGGGCUUACUCAGCGGCAUCAAAACCCACAAAAACAAAUAGGUUAGAUCCAUCCCAGAGACUUUUCUGCAGCAGUAAAUGGAUUUGCCCUCUUUAGAGCAGGGAGCACAGUUCCAACACAAUUAUUCUUAUUGGAAUAGACUAAGGAAUUUACUUCAAAUGAGGUUGCUGGUUGUCCUGCAGAAGCUGUGUCAGAAUAAAUAUCCAGCUACUCUUCAGAGGCAUAAUUGGUUCAUUCUCCCCUGAGACAUUUGUGCUCCAGGAACUGUAGAUGGCCAACUAUGUUUAGGUGGAGGAAAAAUUAUUUUACUCAAUGGACACAUGUUUCGCCCAGUAUUCCACCUGCAAAGGGUGAAGAAUGCGUAAGAAGUGCCAUAGCACUGGAAACUGAGCAGGCUUUUUUCCCUGCUAGCCGGACAUGGUCUACGUGGGAACAUCGCCUAAUGGCUUAUUUGUGAGGACGGCCAAGUAAGGAUGGGGUGACAAACAGAAGUCAAGAUAACCACUACUAGCUCCUUCAGCCCAGAGGCCACGCUUAAUUUCGUGUUUGUCAGCCUUACUGAAUAGAAGUGGACACAUAACCAGAGCCGGGAGGUGUUUCAGCAGCAACCUGACCAACCUUUUGGAUGAGUCUUUUGGAGCAAAAGUACCACGAAUACUAUAAUAACAA